GUGGGUACAUUAGCAGCCAUUGGCUGUUUUUUUAAGUUCUCUCUAGGUCUUGCUCUCUCUUGUGGAAUUUGAGUUGUCUUGCAUUACACUCCACUCCCAAUGCUGCUGCCCAGUGAAGCAACAAAUGAUGACCCUAUCGUGAUCAUCUUGGAAGGAACACAAGAUAGACCUUCUAUGCCCCAAGAAGAUGGGGAACAUGACAAAAGAGUAAAAUCACUCCCAGAAGAGGGGAGCCUGAUGAAAUGAGGCAAUUUACAGGCCAACAAAAAUGGGCAUGGGUUGGUAAGUUUAAAUACCGCAAGGAUGCCGUAAGACUCCCAUGAGAGGAUA